GACCUCGUGGCUCAGUUGGGAGAGCAUUAGAUUAGCAAACCAAAAGUCGCGGGUUCAAUUCCCACCGCGGUCA